AAAACUGAUAUACAGCAUGUACGUCAAGGAUCAUCGCCUCCUUGAUCACCCUGCAAUUAACAAAAUAAUAAAACAAGUUAUAAAUAUAUACUAACUAUGUUAAUAUUGGUAUAUUACGACAAUAUAUAUACAACAUAUUGAUUUUAUACCUCAUCGUCAUUCCCAUGUUGUGAUGUUGCUGCCGCCGCCACUGCCUUAGCUAACUCCUCAGGAUCCAGAGCCCCCAGAUGCCGCCCAGUAUCGUCAGAAGAUUUCGAUCCUGACAUAUAGCUCUCACACAGUCAGCCGGAGUAUGAACAACUGGAUGGCUCGAUGACUGUGUAGACUGGGUAGAAGAGCAGCCUGAGCCACUGAAGGAUGGGCGUCGUCGUUGUCCUUGACCUUUAAUGUAGUUCUUCUUCACAACAGACGCCCUCUCCCACAACUCUUGAUCAAUA
rnacentral:lncRNA from 1 species